rnacentral:rRNA from 1 species
AAUCAACGCUGGCGGCGUGCCUAAUACAUGCAAGUCGAACGCGAAAGUCCCGCAAGGGGCAAGUAGAGUGGCAAACGGGUGAGUAACGCGUGGGCGACCUACCUUCGAGUGGGGGAUAACCUUCCGAAAGGAGGGCUAAUACCGCAUGACAUCCCGUGUUUGGAUACACGGACAUCAAAGUCGGGGAUCGCAAGACCUGACGCUUGGAGAGGGGCCUGCGUCCGAUUAGCUAGUUGGUGGGGUAACGGCCCACCAAGGCUUCGAUCGGUAUCCGGCCUGAGAGGGCGGACGGACACACUGGGACUGAGACACGGCUCAGACUCCUACGGGAGGCAGCAGUAGGGAAUUGUUCGCAAUGGGUGCAAGCCUGACGACGCAACGCCGCGUGGAGGAUGAAGACCUUCGGGUCGUAAACUCCUUUCGACCGAGAUGAACACUCACCGACCUAAUACGUCGGUGAGCUGACAGUAUCGAGGGAAGAAGCCCCGGCUAACUCCGUGC